GACGAACGCUGGCGGCGCGCUUAACACAUGCAAGUCGAACGGAAAGGCCUGCUUUCCCUUGUGGAUUGCGGGUACUCGAGUGGCGAACGGGUGAGUAACACGUGAGUGAUCUGCCCCCAACUUGGGUAUAAGCCUGGGAAACUGGGUCUAAUUCCCGAUAGGACUGCAGGGUGGUGCCUGUGGUGGAAAACGAUUUUCUAGUGGUUGGGGAUGAGCUCGCGGCCUAUCAGCUUGUUGGUGGGGUAAUGACCUACCAAGGCGGCGACGGGUAGCCGGCCUGGGAGGGUGGACGGCCACAUUGGGACUGAGAUACGGCCCAGACUCCUACGGGAGGCAGCAGUGGGGAAUAUUGCACAAUGGGCGGAAGCCUGAUGCAGCGACGCCGCGUGGGGGAUGACGGCCUUCGGGUUGUAAACUCCUUUCGACCGCGAGGAAGCCACCUGGUUGGAAGGGUGGUGACGGUAGUGGUAGAAGAAGCACCGGCUAACUACGUG
rnacentral:rRNA from 1 species